UUGGGAUAACGCCCGGAAACGGGUGCUAAUACUGGAUAUUCACUGGUCUUCGCAUGGGGGUUGGUGGAAAGGGUUUUUCUGGUGGGGGAUGGGCUCGCGGCCUAUCAGCUUGUUGGUGGGGUGAUGGCCUACCAAGGCUUUGACGGGUAGCCGGCCUGAGAGGGUGACCGGUCACAUUGGGACUGAGAUACGGCCCAG
rnacentral:rRNA from 1 species